rnacentral:snoRNA from 1 species
UUGCAGCCAAUUAAGCUGACCAGCGCUUUUCUCCCCGUGGGGUCCUGGUAUGCGAUUGCCGCAAACAGCAGCCUGUUGCCUGCGUAAGCUGCCCUAAGAGAAAGUGGAGACAGCC